GCGGCUUAAUUUGACUCAACGCGGGGUAAUUUACCAGGUAUAACAUGAUAUAAUAUUUUAUCAUGAUAGUGGUGCAUGGCCGUUUCCAAUGGAUGCUGUGAAGUAAUGAUUAAUUUCAACAAGAUGUGAGACCCUCAUUUAGACAGAUGUAGUGAUACAUAUGAAGGAGAGGAUUAAAACAGGUCCGUUAUGCCCUAAGAUAAUCUGGGUUGCACGCGCAAUACAAAAAUAUUUGAUAUUAUAAGGGAUAAUAUAAUGUAAGAUAUAUUUGAACAUGGAAUUGCUAGUAAAUUUUAUUUAAUAAGUAGAAUUGAAUGAGUCCCUGUUCUUUGUACACACCGCCCGUCGCUAUCUAAGAUGGUAUUAUCUAUGAACAAAUUUAUAACGUGAAUAGAUAGUACUAGAUCUGAUAUAAGUCGUAACAUGGUUGCUGUUGGAGAACCAUUAGCAGGAUCAUAA
rnacentral:rRNA from 1 species